ensembl:lncRNA
CAUGGAGAGAGAUGAGGACAGAGAAGGGUUAUGGAGAGAGAUGAGGACAGAGAAGGGUCAUGGAGAGAGAUGACAGAGAAGGGUCAUGGAGAGAGAUGACAGAGAAGGGUCAUGGAGAGAGAUGAGGACAGAGAAGGGUCAUGGAGAGAGAUGGGGACAGAGAAGGUUAUGGAGAGAGAUGGAGAGAUGAGGACAGAGAAGGGUUAUGGAGAGAGAUGAGGACAGAGAAGGUUAUGGAGAGAGAUGGGGACAGAGAAGGGUCAUGGAGAGAGAUGGGGACAGAGAAGGGUCAUGGAGAGAGAUGGAGAGAGAUGAGGACAGAGAAGGUUAUGGAGAGAGAUGAGGACAGAGAAGGUUAUGGAGAGAGAUGGAGAGAUGAGGACAGAGAAGGGUCAUGGAGAGAGAUGAGGACAGAGAAGGUUCAUGGAGAGAGAUGAGGACAGAGAAGGUUAUGGAGAGAGAUGAGGACAGAG